UAAGGGAUAUUGCACAAUGGGCGCAAGCCUGAUGCAGCAACGCCGCGUGCCCGAUGAAGGCCUUCGGGUCGUAAAGGGCUUUUCUGGCUGAAGAAGGCGGCUUGACCGUUUGACAGUAAGCCAGGAAUAAGUGUCGGCUAACUACGUGCCAGCAGCCGCGGUAAAACGUAGGAGGCGAGCGUUAUCCGGAUUCACUGGGCGUAAAGCGCGUGCAGGUGGCCUGGUAAGUUAGGCGUGAAAUCUCCCGGCUCAACUGGGAGAGGUCGUCUAAUACUACCGGGCUUGAGAGCAGAAGAGGAAGAUGAAAUUCCCGGUGUAGUGGUGAAAUGCGUAGAUAUCGGGAGGAACACCAGUGGCGAAGGCGAUCUUCUGGUCUGUUUCUGACACUCAGACGCGACAGCUAGGGUAGUAAACGGGAUUAGAGACCCCGGUAAUCCUAGCCGUAAACGAUGUAAACUUGGCGUUGGUGGGUUAAACUCCAUCAGUGCCGCAG
rnacentral:rRNA from 1 species